GGUUCAGUGGUGUAGUGGUUAUCACGUUCGUCUCACAUUCAUGGCGUGCACGAGAGGUCCCCGGUUCGAAACCGGGCUGAACCA
rnacentral:tRNA from 1 species